rnacentral:rRNA from 1 species
CGAAAGGUAUACUUAAAGAGGGGCUUGCGCCACAUUAGUUAGUUGGUAAGGUAAAGGCUUACCAAGACGAUGAUGUGUAGCUGGACUGAGAGGUCGAACAGCCACAUUGGGACUGAGACACGGAGAGGUUGAACAGCCACAUCAGCAGUAAGGAAUUUUUGGCAAUGGAGGAAACUCUGACCGAGCGACGUCGCGUGAACAAUGAAGUACUUCGGUAUUAAAGUUCUUUUAUUGAAAAAGAAAAAAUAGUGGAAAAACUAUCUUGACAUUAUUCAAUGAAUAAGCCCCGGCUAAUUAUGUGCCAGCAGCCGCGGUAAUACAUAAGGGGCGAGCGUUAUCCGGAAUUAUUGGGCGUAAAGGGUGCGUAGGCGGUUUGAAAGUCUAUAGUUUAAAUGCAGUGCUUAACGCUGUAGCGCUAUAGAAACUGUCUGACUAGAGUUAGAUAGAGGCAAGCGGAAUUCCAUGUGUAGCGGUAAAAUGCGUAAAUAUAUGGAGGAACACCAGAGGCGUAGGCGGCUUGAAAUAUAUGGACUGACGCUGAGGCACGAAAGCGUGGGGAGCAAACAGGAUUAGAUACCCUGGUAGUCCACUGGGGAGGCGAACAGGAUUAGAGUGUCGGGUUUCGGCUCGGUACUGAAGUUAACACAUUAAGUACUCCGCCUGAGUAGUACGUACGCAAGUAUGAAACUUAAAGGAAUUGACGGGACCCCGCACAAGCGGUGGAUCAUGUUGUUUAAUUCGAAGAUACACGAAAAACCUUACCAGGUCUUGACAUAAUUUUGCGACAUUAUAGAAAUAUAAUGAAGGUUAUCAGAAUUACAGGUGGUGCAUGGUUGUCGUCAGCUCGUGUCGUGAGAUGUUAGGUUAAGUCUUCGUUCAAGCUCGUGUCGUGAGAUGUUAGGUUAAGUCCUAAAACGAGCGAAACCCUUAUCGUGACUGCCAAUAAAAAUUGGAGGAAGGUGAGGAUUACGUCAAAUCAUCAUGCCCCUUAUGACUGGGCUACAAACGUGAUACAAUGGCUGUUACAAAGAGUAGCUACAACGUGAGUUUUAGCCAAUCUCAAAAAAACAGUCUCAGUUCGGAUUGAAGU